rnacentral:rRNA from 1 species
AAUGAACGCUGGCGGCAGGCUUAACACAUGCAAGUCGAGCGCCCCGCAAGGGGAGCGGCAGACGGGUGAGUAACGCGUGGGAACGUACCCUUUGCUACGGAAUAGCUCCGGGAAACUGGAAUUAAUACCGUAUGUGCCCUACGGGGGAAAGAUUUAUCGGCAAAGGAUCGGCCCGCGUUGGAUUAGCUAGUUGGUGGGGUAAUGGCCUACCAAGGCGACGAUCCAUAGCUGGUCUGAGAGGAUGAUCAGCCACAUUGGGACUGAGACACGGCCCAAACUCCUACGGGAGGCAGCAGUGGGGAAUAUUGGACAAUGGGCGCAAGCCUGAUCCAGCCAUGCCGCGUGAGUGAUGAAGGCCUUAGGGUUGUAAAGCUCUUUCACCGGAGAAGAUAGUGACGGUAUCCGGAGAAGAAGCCCCGGCUAACUUCGUGCCAGCAGCCGCGGUAACAC